rnacentral:rRNA from 1 species
GAUGAACGCUGGCGGCGUGCCUAAUACAUGCAAGUCGAGCGAACAGACGAGGAGCUUGCUCCUCUGACGUUAGCGGCGGACGGGUGAGUAACACGUGGAUAACCUACCUAUAAGACUGGGAUAACUUCGGGAAACCGGAGCUAAUACCGGAUAAUAUAUUGAACCGCAUGGUUCAAUAGUGAAAGACGGUUUUGCUGUCACUUAUAGAUGGAUCCGCGCCGCAUUCGCUAGUUGGUAAGGUAACGGCUUACCAAGGCAACGAUGCGUAGCCGACCUGAGAGGGUCAUCGGCCACACUGGAACUGAGACACGGUCCAGACUCCGACGGGAGGCAGCAGUAGGGAAUCUUCCGCAAUGGGCGAAAGCCUGACGGAGCAACGCCGCGUGAGUGAUGAAGGUCUUCGGAUCGUAAAACUCUGUUAUUAGGGAAGAACAAAUGUGUAAGUAACUAUGCACGUCUUGACGGUACCUAAUCAGAAAGCCACGGCUAACUACGUG